rnacentral:rRNA from 1 species
CCUACGGGUGGCUGCAGUGGGGAAUUUUGGACAAUGGGGGCAACCCUGAUCCAGCCAUUCCGCGUGAGUGAAGAAGGCCUUCGGGUUGUAAAGCUCUUUUGUCCGGAGCGAAACGGGCGGCCCUAAUACGGUCGUCUACUGACGGUACCGGAAGAAUAAGCACCGGCUAACUACGUGCCAGCAGCCGCGGUAAUACGUAGGGUAAGAGCGUUAAUCGGAAUUAGCGGGGGCAAAUUGGGAGCAGAGGGUUGAAAUCCCCGGGCUCAACCUGGGAAUGGCAUUUGGGACUGCAAGGCUGGAGUGUGGCAGAGGGGACUAGAAUUCCUGGUGUAGCAGUGAAAUGCGUAGAUAUCAGGAGGAAUACCGAUGGCGAAGGCAGGUCCCUGGGUUAACACUGACGCUCAUGCACGAAAGCGUGGGGAGCAAACAGGAUUAGAUACCCGUGUAGUC